AAAAAAGCCUCUAGUGGGUGUUGUGGCGGCCCGUACCCUAAACCGACUCAGGUGGUCAGGUAGAGAAUACCAAGGCGAUCGGGUGAACUGUGGUUAAGGAACUCGGCAAAUUGCCCCCGUAACUUCGGGAGAAGGGGGACCUCUGCUGGUGAUGGGCUUUACGUUCUGAGCUGGUGGGGGUCGCAGUGGCCAGGGGGAAGCGACUGUUUACUAAAAACACAGGUCCGUGCGAAGUCGUAAGACGAUGUAUACGGACUGACGCCUGCCCGGUGCCGGAACGUUAAGGGGACCGCUUAGCCAACGCGAGUUGGCGAAGGUGAGAACUUAAGCGCCGGUAAACGGCGGUGGUAACUAUAACCAUCCUAAGGUAGCGAAAUUCCUUGUCGGGUAAGUUCCGACCUGCACGAAUGGCGUAACGACUUCCCCGCUGUCUCAACCACAGACCCGGCGAAAUUGCACUACGAGUAAAGAUGCUCGUUUCGCGCAGCAGGACGGAAAGACCCCGGGACCUUCACUACAGCUUGACAUUGGCGUUUGGAACGUCUUGUGUAGGAUAGGUGGGAGACUGGGAAGCUGUCACGCUAGUGAUGGUGGAGUCAUUGGUGAAAUACCACUCUGGUCGUUUUGAACGUCUAACUCUGGUCCGUGAUCCAGAUCGGGGACAGUGUCUGGUGGGUAGUUUAACUGGGGCGGUUGCCUCCUAAAGAGUAACGGAGGCGCCCAAAGGUUCCCUCAGCCUGGUUGGCAAUCAGGUGUUGAGUGUAAGUGCACAAGGGAGCUUGACUGUGAGACUACAGGUCGAGCAGGAGCGAAAGCUGGGACUAGUGAUCCGGCAUCGGCGUGCGGAAGCGGUGUCGCUCAACGGCUAAAAGGUACCCCGGGGAUAACAGGCUGAUCUUCCCCAAGAGUCCAUAUCGACGGGAUGGUUUGGCACCUCGAUGUCGGCUCGUCGCAUCCUGGGGCUGGAGUAGGUCCCAAGGGUUGGGCUGUUCGCCCAUUAAAGCGGUACGCGAGCUGGGUUUAGAACGUCGCAGACAGUUCGGUCCCUAUCCGCUGCGCGCGCAGGAGACUUGAAGGGGGCUGUCCCUAGUACGAGAGGACCGGGACGGACGAACCUCUGGUGUGCCAGUUGUACCGCCAGGUGCACGGCUGGUUGGCUACGUUCGGAAGGGAUAACCGCUGAAAGCAUCUAAGCGGGAAGCUCGCCUUGAGAUGAGGUCUCCCACCCCGUGAGGGGGUAAGGCUCCCGGUAGAUCACCGGGUUGAUAGGCCGGAGGUGGAAGCACGGUAACGUGUGGAGCUGACCGGUACUAAUAGGCCGAGGACCUGACCUA
rnacentral:rRNA from 1 species